rnacentral:rRNA from 1 species
AUACGGGGGAUGCGAGCGUUAUCCGGAUUUAUUGGGUUUAAAGGGCGCGUAGGCGGGACGCCAAGUCAGCGGUAAAAGGCUGCAGCUAAACUGUAGCACGCCGUUGAAACUGGCGACCUGGAGACGAGACGAGGGAGGCGGAACAAGUGAAGUAGCGGUGAAAUGCUUAGAUAUCACACAGAACACCAAUUGCGAAGGCAGCUUACUAAACUGUUACUGACGCUGAUGCACGAAAGCGUGGGGAGC